rnacentral:pre_miRNA from 1 species
AAAGUACUCCCUCCGUCCCAAAAUUCUUGUCUUAGAUUUGUCUAGAUACAGAUGUAUCAAGUCACAUUUUAGUAUUAAAUACAUCCGUAUCUAGACAAAUCUAAGACAAGAAAUUUGGGAUAGAGGGAGUAGUUG